GAGAGACUCUGCCUUUUCAACACGAUGGCUCCUCCCGCUGCUGCUGCUGCUCCAGGAGACAGGUUCUCAUGCAGGAAUGAAAGACAUGGAGGGGAAGAGGGGGGCCAGCUCCCUGAGUCCUGUGUCCACCAGCUGCUGCUAAAUACCUCUCAGAAACUCUGCUUCUAGCUAAGGGGACCUACUUCUCUUGGGAAUCUCAAUACGUGGAACAAGAACCUCGUGGAUGGACCCUUUGGCAAAAUGAAUUGGACCAACCACAGGUUCCAGGACUGGAGAGCCAGCAAUGCCUCCCUAGACAAUUACUCUGCUCAGAGAACAUCACCACCCUGAAGCCAGAGACUAACCCUGAAGGACUCAGCAGCCUAAGCACAGCAGCCACAGGCCUUUCUGGCUCCAUUGCUGCGGUGGCCCUCAUCUUGCUCCUGGUGGGUCUCUUGUCCAUGACCCUGAAGAAAUGGAGGCAUGAGAGUGAGUUGAACAAGUUGACCCUGGAACUGGGAAUGAAGAGAAGAGAAACUGGGGGCAGAGACUGGGGUGUCUUUCCUAUGGGCAGCCUUGUCGGAGUAGGGGGCAGGUAGUGGGAGGGUAAUAUGAAGGAGAUACGAAGAUAAGACCUCUUCUGUAGAGUUGUUGGGGACUCUGUGCACAGCAAUAAGACUUACUCAUCACACAAGUUCUUCACACUGAAAGCGAUAUACAGUAUAAGCCGUCUGCAUAUAUGAUUAUGGUCUAUAUGCCUCAGCUAAAAAAAAUAUUGAUGCCAAAUAAUCUCUUCUAAAUAAUAAACAAAAUUAUAAAUUAUAAAGUUUACUCAUUUCCCCUGUGUCUUCCUGGGAAUUUAAC